GUAGGUGAACCUGCGGAAGGAUCAUUACAGAGUCAAUAGACUGGCGUAAGCUAUCUAUACACUCCACCCUUUGUUUACCUUACUUUUGUUGCUUUGGCAGGUCUGUCAUUAGACUACCGGCUCUAGCUGGUUAGUACCUGCCAGAGGACCUAAAACUCUUGUUAAUUUUAUUGUCUGAGUACUACAUAAUAGUUAAAACUUUCAACAACGGAUCUCUUGGUUCUGGCAUCGAUGAAGAACGCAGCAUCUG
rnacentral:misc_RNA from 1 species